CUUGUACACACCGCCCGUCACACCAUGAGAGUUUGUAACACCCAAAGUCGGUUGGAUAACCUUUUAGGAGUCCGCCGCCUAAGGUGGGACAGAUGAUUAGGGUGAAGUCGUAACAAGGUAGCCGUAGGAGAACCUGCGGCUGGAUCACCUCCUUU
rnacentral:rRNA from 1 species